ensembl:lncRNA
GUCAAUGGAGAAGAUCAAAGAUUUGGGGGCCACCCAGCCCUGAUCUGGGGCCCCAGCAGGCUGUGUGCACCACGGCCGGGACUCCUCUCCUCCUCAUGCCUCUCUCUCCCUGCACAGGUUCCCUCUCCCGGCCAGUGCUGACUCAGCCACCUUGCCUCUGCAUCACCUGGAGCAUAUGCCAGACUCACCUGCACUGCCAGCAGUGACAUCAGUGUUGGUGGAUACAGGAUAUUCUGGACCAGCCAAAGCCAGGGAGCCCCCAGGCUCCUGCUUCCAAGCUGUGCUCACACAUCCAUCUGUGGUGUCGGGUCAGGUCUCAGGAACAGGAUCAUCCACAGCAGAGAAAGCAGCACCUUGAGAUGAUCAGUGUGGCCUGGCGACAACAGCAUCCAGGCAGAAGCCCUAGAAACGUGGACCCAGGUGUUCUUUUCUCACAGCAUCUGAGACAGACCCUCUGGCUUCAGGUCUGGCAGGAAAGCUUCCUGAGGGUCUCUUAGAUCCUGUCCUAGGACGGGGUUGGCCACUGGGACCAGACAUGAGAUGAUCUUGACACAGUGUCCAGAUCUGUGAGGAAUCACGAUGCAGCCCCUCCCCCUCCCCCUGUGAGCCCGUCACUCUCUGGUCACUUCCUCAUCUGAGUCUACAUCCGGGUGACUCUGCCGUUCAUCUGCUGCCAUCCCUGAAUGUCUGGAGACUUUGUGGGAGCUGCGGCUCUGAGGAUGGCUGCGCCAUUCCUGACAGCCUGUUCACACCCUCAUCACUGCUGCACAGACAGAAGCUUUAUUUUCAGGGCACAAAUUCUCUCUAGAUAAUUGAUGGAAGAGUCAACAGAAGGGUGAUGCCAAUGUGUCCAGCCGAGUUAAGAACCUGCCAGUAUCUGACCACAAGGAACCCAUGUAAUCCAAUCCCAGAUCUUUGUCAGAAACCCAAAAUAUGCCUCUAUUUUCCUGUUUUACCCAAUCCCAGGAUGGUGGCCCUCUUCCUGUCCUCUUGAGGCCAGAGAGCAGUAACUUCCAUCCUGAUCCCCUGGGCCUGACCCUCAGCUCUGUGCAUCUUGCUCCCUGGGGGCUCCCUGCCCUCAGACCCCAGGCUCCCUUGUGAGGACUGACCUUCCUGCAUGAACAGGAACCCAGGGGCAAGGCUGCUCCGAGAGUCACAGGACCCACUUGGGUGGAGGGGAAGAGGGUACCUUGACACCUGUGUGUCCACAUCCUCGGGACAGUUUGUGUCCCUGACCUCAGGACUGUGUCAAGACUGCAAACAUGUGUUUCUCUAGCCAGAUCAGGAGAAAUCGGUGAGAGUUUAUCAAGGCAAAGAAGAGACCACUGUUCAUCAUUUAUCACUCAAUGAAGGCACAGGCCUUAGGUCUGUCAGCUCUCUGGAAGAUUCUGGAAAUGGAAAAGAAGACUCCACAGCUGGUGUUGGAAAUCAAACACAGAAUUAGUGGAUGUAAAGGUUUACCAUAAGCCAAGAGAGACAGAAGUGGGACUCAAUCGUGAGAGAGUGAAAUGAGUGGAUUUGUUUCAAAACCAUCCUUUUUUGGCUCCUUUCUCAUUGCAAAGGUUUAAGUAGAAAAACACAGAUGACGUUUUCAAUAAACGCUUAAGAAGAUGACAAUUAAAUUCAUCUCCAUGCCUGCCUUUGUAAAAAUAAAUAUAGAAAUAAAGCAAUAAGGACUACUUCCUCAAUGGCUUAAGGAUGGUGUAUCUUUAAACCAGAGAAAAGCAUUAUCCCAGAACAGAGAAGACUAGAAUUGUUCCAUUUCGGUCUUGGACCAUACGUGAUGACUACCGACACAGCUCUUCUGAAAGGUUUACCCUGAGAUUUGUGUCAAGUCAAGAAUAGAAAAAAAGAGAAAACAUUUAAAUAUGAAGAGUUAGAUUUUAAUUAUGAAAGCUAUAAGUAUGUACCUAGAAGUCUAGAGAUUGUACUGAAAAUUAAUUAGGAUGAAUGAAAAAAUUAUCUGAGUCACAAUGAAUAAACAUAGUAUCUCAUGUUAAAAGUAUGUAAUCUAAAAUGUAGUUCAAAAUGUAUAUGAUUCUGUUUCCAGUAUAAAAAAUUAAAAAUUUGACCAUAUCUGUAGAAAAACAAUUACAAAUUUCA